rnacentral:rRNA from 1 species
GACGAACGCUGGCGGCGUGCUUAACACAUGCCAGUCGAACGGAAAGGCCCUGCUUUUGUGGGGUGCUCGAGUGGCGAACGGGUGAGUAACACGUGAGUAACCUGCCCUUGACUUUGGGAUAACUUCAGGAAACUGGGGCUAAUACCGGAUAGGAGCUCCUGCUGCAUGGUGGGGGUUGGAAAGUUUCGGCGGUUGGGGAUGGACUCGCGGCUUAUCAGCUUGUUGGUGGGGUAGUGGCUUACCAAGGCUUUGACGGGUAGCCGGCCUGGGAGGGUGACCGGGCACAUUGGGACUGAGAGACGGCACAGACUGCUACGGGAGGCAGCAGUGGGGAAUAUUGCACAAUGGGCGGAAGCCUGAUGCAGCAACGCCGCGUGCGGGAUGACGGCCUUCGGGUUGUAAACCGCUUUCGCCUGUGACGAAGCGUGAGUGACGGUAAUGGGUAAAGAAGCACCGGCUAACUACGUG